rnacentral:rRNA from 1 species
GUAAACCCAAGGUUUCCAGGGGAAGGUUCGUCCGCCCUGGGUUAGUCGGGACCUAAGCUGAGGCCGAAAGGCGUAGGUGAUGGACAACAGGUUGAUAUUCCUGUACUACCGAUAACCGUUUGAGAGAUGGGAUGACACAGUAGGAUAAGCUAAGCACACUGUUGGUUAUGUGUGCCCAAGCAUUGAGGCAGUCAAAGUAGGCAAA